UUUCGGAUGGAAGAGAAGAUGUAGUGUUCUAGGCGGACGGACGGGUGAGUAACCGUCGUGGAGCCAACCUCGUCCUUCACGAGGGGAUAACAACAGCGAAAGUUGUACUAAUACCGCAUGAGACCACACUGGGACAUCCCAGAGGGGUCAAAGGAGCAAUCCGGUGAAGGGUGGGCUCGCGUCCCGAGUUAGAUAGUUGGUGAGGUAACGGCCCACCAAGUCGACGAUCGGUAGCCGACCUGAGAGGGUGAUCGGCCACAUUGGGACUGAGACACGGCCCAACUCCUACGGGAGGCAGCAGUGGGAAUAUUGGGCAAUGGGGGAAACCCUGACCCAGCAACGCCGCGUGAGGGAAGAAGGUUUUCGGAUCGUAAACCUCUGUCCUUGGUGAAGAGUGAGAGACGGUAGCCAAGGAGGAAGCCCCGGCUAACUACGUGCCAGCCGCCGC
rnacentral:rRNA from 1 species